CUUCUGCCUCCCCUCAACCACAAAGUUUGACGCUGCCGGACCUGGUCCCGGUCCCGAGCAGAUGCUGGAGGAAUCCCGACCUCUUUACUGUGCCAAACUCCCCAAAGCUGCUGACUCUGCUUUCACUGCACAACGGGGCGGAGAUGGUCCCUUUAAGGAGAUGCUACUGCCUGAGUUGGACAUCUGUGCUGACCCAGCCUUGCAACUAGCCCACAGCCUAGUUUUUGAGCUUGUUAGUAAAAUUCAAACACACUUGAAGAAACCCUUGAUUCAAUGAAAAAAAGAAUAGCCAAUUUGGAAGCAGAAAAAUGGAAAGAACUGUCACCUACCUCCGCUCCGCUGACUACAGAUGAAGAAACAGGCCAGGAGAGAUUUUAAAAGCAUCUUAUUUAGGGCCAGGGCCAGAAUGUGGCGUGGCGGUUAAGACGCUGGACUCCCAUAUGCCUGACUAUGGUUUGAGUCUCAGAUUUGGUGACCUGAUUUCUCACUACUCCAUCCCACCCCCCUUCUUUCUCUGUGAGCAACAUUGGAGGAGUGUUAAACAAGAAUCCAAGAGCUAUAAGAAAUUUAACAGCUCAACAGGCAUGAAACGUGUCCUACUGAACAGGAAGACGUCUGCUUACCAGAGCUGUGUGGUAAAAUACGGCAGAUGAGAGAGGUCAGUCUGCACCUGGCAAAAAGUGAAUGUUCUGAAGAGUUGUGCUUAUGUGUAGAGGUGCACGAGCACAUAAUUCUAGAAAAGCUGCAGCUUAGGUUUCUUAACAAAGAGCACACCAUGGAUGCAAUUGGCCUGAACAUUGCUAUUAGUCACGGUUUUGAUCUGAAAAGUCAAAUGGAACUAAAAAAAAAAAAAAAAAAAAAAAA